rnacentral:rRNA from 1 species
UGGGGAAUAACUAGCCGAAAGGUUAGCUAAUACCGCAUACGUUUCCGGAACUUCGGUUUCGGAAAGAAAGCAAUACCGUGGGUAUUGCGCUCCUGGAUGGGCUCAUGUCCUAUCAGCUUGUUGGUUGAGGGUUAAACGGGCUUCACCAAGGCUUCGACGGGUAGCUGGUCUGAGAGGACGAUCAGCCACACUGGGACUGAGAUACGGCCCAGACUCCUACGGGAGGCAGCAGUGGGGAAUAUUGGACAAUGGGGGCAACCCUGAUCCAGCAAUGCCGCGUGAGUGAUGAAGGCCUUAGGGUUGUAAGGCUCUUUUGCCAGGGAAGAUGAUGACUGUACCUGGAGAAUAAGCCCCGGCUAACUUCGUG